AACGCGAAGAACCUUACCUGGAUUUGACAUACUUCUGCACGGCCUGUGAAAGCAGGCUUCCUUCGAGGGUGAAGUACAGGUGCUGCAUGGCUGUCGUCAGUUCGUGCCGUGAGGUGUUUGGUUAAGUCCACCAACGAACGCAACCCCUUUGACAUGUUGCCAGCGGGUCAUGCCGGGAACUCGUGUCAUACUGCUCGUUUACGCGAGAGGAAGGUGGGGAUGACGUCAAGUCAGUAUGGCCCUUACAUCCAGGGCUGCACACGUGCUACAAUGGCCGGUACAGAGCGAAGCGAGACCGCAAGGUGGAGCGAAUCGCACAGAGCCGGCCUCAGUUCAGAUUGGGGUCUGCAACCCGACCCCAUGAAGUCGGAUUUGCUAGUAACGGCGUAUCAGCUACGACGCCGUGAAUGCGUUCCCGGGUCUUGUACACACGC
rnacentral:rRNA from 2 species